rnacentral:rRNA from 1 species
CUCUCUCCGAGAUACAUUGGCUCCAUGUAAAUCACUUUUUCAUACUUGGCAUCAAAUUUCACCCUAUAAAUAGUUCUCCCAUUCAAAGAUGUGAUUAAAAAAUUAUUAAUCCAAUAUUCUGAAAAAUUAUUUGAAAUUUUCUCAAUCUCCGAAAUUCCAAUUGACGGCACAAAUGAAAAAAUUGGCUCCUCAAAAUUAUUAUCUAAAUGGGAUUUAGAUAGCUCAUAUUUUGGUAUUCUUGAUUUUUCCUUAUCUUUUUUAAAUUUAUACAACUCACCAUAUGAAGAUAUUGGAUAACCAUAAUUCUUACCAAACCUAAUAAAACUCCGAAUGCUAAACAUUGUUCCUCAGCAGACAGACUGUGGGUGCUAAGGUCCAUGGUCGAGAGGGAAAGAGCCCAGACCACCAGAUAAGGUCCCCAAAUUAUGAUUAAGUGUGAAAGGAUGUGGAAAUUCCUAAACAGCCGGGAGGUUGGCUUAGAAGCAGCCAUCCUUUAAAGAUAGCGUAACAGCUCACCGGUCUAAUAGAGUUUCUGCGCCGAAGAUGUAACGGGGCUAAAAUCAUAUACCGAAUCUGUGGAUUUGUAAUUUUUUCGAAAAUUAUAACUGGUAGCGGAACGUUCUGUAAGCCUGUGAAGGGAUACCCGUGAGGGAUCCUGGAGGUAUCAGAAGUGCGAAUGCUGACAUAAGUAACGAUAAAAGAAGUGAAAAACUUCUUCGCCGAAAAUCCAAGGGUUUCUGCGCAAGGUUAAUCCGCGCAGAGUUAGUCGGCACCUAAGGCGAGGGCGAAAGCCGUAGUCGAUGGAAAUAAGGUUAAUAUUCCUUAACCAGAUGGUAGUGACGAAUCUUGUAAGUUGUGAGUUCUUAAUGGAUUGAACUUGCCGCGAAAAGGUUCCAAGAAAUAGCUCCAUCAUUAGACCGUACCCUAAACCGACACAGGUGGAUUAAUAGAGUAUAUUUAGGCGCUUGAGAGAAUGAUGUUGAAGGAACUCGGCAAAAUGCUUCCGUAACUUCGGAAUAAGGAAGACCUUUUUUAAGGCAACUUUUAAAAGGUGGCACAAGUCAGGGAGAAGCGACUGUUUAUCAAAAACACAGGGCUCUGCUAACACGUAAGUGGAUGUAUAGGGUCUGACGCCUGCCCGGUGCUGGAAGGUUAAUGCGAUGGGUGCAAGCUCAUUUCUGAAGCCCCAGUAAACGGCGGCCGUAACUAUAACGGUCCUAAGGUAGCGAAAUUCCUUGUCGGGUAAGUUCCGACCUGCAUGAAUGGCGUAACGAUUUCUCCGCUGUCUCCAACAUCAACUCAGUGAAAUUGAAUUCUCCGUGAAGAUGCGGAGUUCGCGUAGUUAGACGGAAAGACCCCGUGCACCUUUACUGCAACUUUACAUUGGUGUUAGGAAAAAACAUAUUUAGCAUAGGAGGGAGACAUUGAAACAAGAGCGUCAGCUUUUGUGGAGUCACCAGUGAAAUACCUCUUUUGUUUUUCUUGAUAUCUAACUGAUUGCCGUCAUCCGGCAUCAAGACAUUGUAUGGUGGGUAGUUUGACUGGGGCGGUCGCCUCCCAAAUAGUAACGGAGGCGUGCGAAGGUAGGCUCAGAACGGUCAGAAAUCGUUCGUAGAGUGCAAUGGCAUAAGCCUGCCUGACUGUGAGACUGACAAGUCGAGCAGAGACGAAAGUCGGUCAUAGUGAUCCGGUGGUUCUGAGUGGAAGGGCCAUCGCUCAACGGAUAAAAGGUACGCCGGGGAUAACAGGCUGAUACUGCCCAAGAGCUCAUAUCGACGGCAGUGUUUGGCACCUCGAUGUCGGCUCAUCACAUCCUGGGGCUGGAGCAGGUCCCAAGGGUUUGGCUGUUCGCCAAUUAAAGUGGUACGUGAGCUGGGUUCAGAACGUCGUGAGACAGUUCGGUCCCUAUCUGCUAUGCGUGUAGAAGAAUUGAGAGGAGUUGACCCUAGUACGAGAGGACCGGGUUGAACAUACCACUGGUGGACCGGUUGUAGCGCCAGCUGCAGUGCCGGGUAGCUAAGUAUGGACGAGAUAACUGCUGAAAGCAUCUAAGCGGGAAACUCACCUCAAAACUAGUUCUUCCCAUAGAGCCGUGGUAGACCACCACGUUGAUAGGCUGGGUGUGGAAGCGCAGUAAUGCGUGCAGCUUACCAGUACUAAUAGCUCAAUCGGCUUGAUUUA